GAUGAACGCUAGCAGCGGGCUUAAUACAUGCAAGUCAAGGGGUAGCAAUACACCGGCGUACGGGUGCGUAACGCGUAUGGAACCUGCCCUUAUCUGGGGGAUAACUCGGGGAAACUCGAGCUAAUACCGCAUAAGAUAGUAGAAUGGCAUCAUUCAGCUAUUAAAGAUUUAUCGGAUAAGGAUGGACAUGCGUAAGAUUAGAUAGUUGGUGGGGUAACGGCUCACGAAGUCUACGAUCUUUAGGGGCUCUGAGAGGAGAAUCCCCCACACUGGGAAUGAGAUACGGGCCCGACUGCUGCGGAAGGGAGCAGUAGGGAAUAUUGGGAAAUGGGCGGGAGCCUGACCCAGCCACACCGCGUGCAGGAAGAAGGCCCUCUGGGUUGUAAACUGCUUUUGAUUGGGAAGAAAGCAUCUCAUGCGUGGGAUUUUGACGGUACCAAUCGAAUAAGCCACGGCUAACUACGUGCCAGCCGCCGCAGUAACAC
rnacentral:rRNA from 1 species